GAUGAACGCUGGCGGCGUGCUUAACACAUGCAAGUCGAACGAAGCACCUUUGUCAGAUCCCUUCGGGGUGAAGACGUUAGUGACUGAGUGGCGGACGGGUGAGUAACGCGUGGAUAACCUGCCUUACACAGGGGGAUAACAGUUAGAAAUGACUGCUAAUACCGCAUAAGCGCACAGCAUCGCAUGAUGCCGUGUGAAAAACUCCGGUGGUGUAAGAUGGAUCCGCGUCUGAUUAGCUAGUUGGUGGGGUAACGGCCCACCAAGGCGACGAUCAGUAGCCGGCCUGAGAGGGUGGACGGCCACAUUGGGACUGAGACACGGCCCAGACUCCUACGGGAGGCAGCAGUGGGGGAUAUUGCACAAUGGGGGAAACCCUGAUGCAGCGACGCCGCGUGAGGGAAGAAGGUUUUCGGAUUGUAAACCUCUGUCUUUGGGGAAGAGUAGAAGACGGUACCCAAGGAGGAAGCCACGGCUAACUACGUGCCAGCAGCCGCGGUAAAAC
rnacentral:rRNA from 1 species